CAAACAUAUACAUGCAAAAUUUUCCUGAAAGAGAGAAAUACACCACAUUCAAUGGCUGCAAAAUCUUCACCAAAUAAAUACUACCUAUGUCCCAAUUUAUGCAUCAUAUUCUCCUUUUUUAGCCUGUUUCAAAAGAAUGCCAUACUUCCUUAUUUAAAAACAAUUUUACUUUAAACUUCUCAUUUACACUUAGAUGAGUUUGAGUCUCAGAGAUGUCUAUGGCCUAUUUUACACCACAAGUCUUCCUUUUUUUCUUAUACUCCGCGUCUAGUCAAACACUGCAACAUAAACUGGGAUGGAGGGACCAUGUGGUUAUUACAAG
rnacentral:misc_RNA from 1 species